rnacentral:tRNA from 1 species
GGCGCUGUGGCUUAGUUGGUCAAAGUGCCUGUCUAGUAAACAGGAGAUGCUGGGUUCGAAUCCCAGCAGUGCCU